GACGAACGCUGGCGGCGCGCUUAACACAUGCAAGUCGAGCGGUAAGGCCCUUUCAGGGGUACACGAGCGGCGAACGGGUGAGUAACACGUGGGUGACCUGCCCUUAGCUCUGGGAUAAGCCUGGGAAACUGGGUCUAAUACCGGAUAUGACUCCAUGACGCAUGUUGUGGGGUGGAAAGCCUUGUGCGGCUAGGGAUGGGCCCGCGGCCUAUCAGCUUGUUGGUGGGGUGANGGCCUACCAAGGCGACGACGGGUAGCCGGCCUGAGAGGGCGACCGGCCACACUGGGACUGAGACACGGCCCAGACUCCUACGGGAGGCAGCAGUGGGGAAUCUUGCGCAAUGGGCGAAAGCCUGACGCAGCGACGCCGCGUGGGGAUGACGGCCU
rnacentral:rRNA from 1 species